AGCUCGUGUCGUGAGAUGUUGGUUAAGUCCCGCAACGAGCGCAACCCCUAUUGUUAGUUGCCAUCAUUCAGUUGGGCACUCUAGCGAGACUGCCGGUAAUAAACCGGAGGAAGGUGGGAUGACGUCAAAUCAUCAUGCCCCUUAUGACCUGGGCUACACACGUGCUACAAUGGUUGGUACAACGAGUUGCGAGUCGGUGACGGCGAGCUAAUCUCUUAAAGCCAAUCUCAGUUCGGAUUGUAGGCUGCAACUCGCCUACAUGAAGUCGGAAUCGCUAGUAAUCGCGGAUCAGCACGCCGCGGUGAAUACGUUCCCGGGCCUU
rnacentral:rRNA from 1 species